AUACGGAGGGUGCAAGCGUUAAUCGGAAUUACUGGGCGUAAAGCGUGCGUAGGUGGUUUGUUAAGUUAGAUGUGAAAGCCCUGGGCUCAACCUGGGAACUGCAUUUGAAACUGGCAUACUAGAGUAUAGGAGAGGAAAGUGGAAUUUCAGGUGUAGCGGUGAGAUGCGUAGAUAUCUGAAGGAACAUCAAUGGCGAAGGCAGCUUUCUGGACUAAUACUGACACUGAGGUACGAAAGCGUGGGUAGCAAACAGGAUUAGAAACCCUAGUAGUCC
rnacentral:rRNA from 1 species